UAUGGUGUUAGAGCUUCCAGUGGCUGCACAACACCAGCAAGGUUAGAGCCUCCAGUGGCUGCAACAAGACCAUGAUGUUAAAGCCUCCAGUGGCUGCACAACACCAUGGUGUUAGAGUUUCCAGUGGUUGCACAACAUCACGGUGUUAGAUCCACCACUGGCUGCCCAACACCAGCAAGGUUAGAGCUUCCAGUGGCUGCCCAACACCAGCAAGGUUAGAGCUGCCAGUGGCUGCACAACACCACGGUGUUAGAGCCACCACUGGCUGCCCAACACCAGCAAGGUUAGAGCUGCCAGUGGCUGCACAACACCACGGUGUUAGAGCCACCACUGGCUGCCCAACACCAGCAAGGUUAAGACAUGCAACAGGACUUGGCUUAUCCCCACAGAGGGAUAAGCUCGACGCCAGUGAACAAACUACUCAAUUACAUUUGGAGACAAACACUGAUGACAAUGAGGUCAGAGCACUUGGAACCUCACAUGUAAAUACAGACAUUUCCUUACAUACCACGGUAGCUCCUCACUAAAUGUGUUUUGCCACAUGAAUUUUGUUUCUAUCACACACUAAGUUGCAGCAGAGAUUCAAAAAAAGGUACUGAAUACAGGCUAUGAUUUGGGGGCUGGAAUGAGAGAUCCUUACAGUCCUCUCCAACCCAAAUAAUUCUAUUUGUGUUUCAAGGAGAACAGUGGAGAAACAGACCCCAACUCUAACAGAUUUUAGAAUGCAUACAGCAAUUCAUUCUAGAAAUUAUUUGAUUCUUGUUGUGUUAAACACUGAAUCUUGAACUGAUUUUCUUCUUCCUCUGUGAGUGCUGACAAAUUUGCAUGUGGCUGCUCAUAGCUAACAGGUAACAACACUUGCAUCAACAGCUAAAAACAAGCACAUCACUUGAAUACUCAUGAUGAGUGAUAAGAAUGAACAUUACACUACAUGUUAUAUGGGAAACAGCACGUUUUACUGGGAGUUUUUAGCAUUCUACUGCUUGCUGUGGCAAUACUGUACCAUCAUCACUCAGAAGUCUUAUCAUGAAGGCACCAGGUAACACCACCUCAGCUUAUGGGCUUUGAAAGAGAAGCCAUGGAAUACCAGGAGUUAGAGACUGAGAGAGGCUACUGCAGACUCUUCAGUGAUCUCAGACCACCCCCAGUCUGUACCAGGAGAAUGGGGACUGGGAGCAGCAAUAUCUGCUGGGGAUUUAUCAUGCAUGGAGUGCAACUGGAAGGAAGUAACAGUACAUUACCUCUGGGCCAUCCUCAGGCUGCAGCAACAGGAAAUAAAUCACUAUUGUUAUUUAGAGCAUUUCCAUGAAAUUCCUCUCCUGACACCAGUGAAGGUGUCUGACUAAAGCUUCACUGGAAGAGGGCUACAAUGGACCCCUAAGGUGAGAAUUACACCUACCUGUCCUUCUUCAGCAAAUCCCCUUCCAUCACAGUCAUGCUCAGAGGCCUCUUCCUCUCCAGGGUCCCACAUUCAUAGUCAUUGCCAGUGUGUGACAAGUGAUUGGAAUUUACAGCAGGAACUGCCACAAACGCCCCAGACACAUUGAAAUCUUCAUCUGAAG